UUGUUUUGCCCAUAAUUUCUUCGUUUGGUGUCGAAAUGAUCUCAUUCUUUUUGCGUUCAACUCAUAUUUUCAUGCUAUGUAAUAUGGAGAUAACAAAUGCUAGGGAUCAAUUGAGUAACCAAUUUCGAUGAGAGUCGCUUUCCCACUCAAAACUGGAUUUUUAUCAAGUUUUUACCAAAACCUAAUCAACUUCGCCAUGAAUCUGGCCAGUUUCAGCGGCUAAUUCUUCGUUUCGCCGUCCCUAUAACACCAAUUAGAUCGUUGAUUGGUUAUUAUUUAUGAUAUCCCUCUUUUAUUCAUGAUUGUUUCUUCUUGUUGUUGUGUUGUGUUUUUUGGUAUUCAAAACAGGUAUUUCGGCUCGGUUUACAUUGAUCUUUCUAAUCAGAACCUGGUUUGGCUGCAAUAGCUGAUGAACUCUUUCACGAUGUCAGUUCGAGUGUGAUAGUUUUAUUAGUCUAUCGUUCAAGCCGGAAAAACAAAGGAGUACAUGGUUAUCACUCGGGAGCUCACCGCAGUUUCAAGAUACAAAGACAUGACUAACAACUUCAAUCAAUUGCAUCGAACACCUCUACCACCACCUAAGUUCUUCUGGGCAUUGCCGUGUCUAUCAAAAAUACAGCUUUUCUUGUGGAAAGCAUUGACCGAAGAACUUUCGACCUUCGAAACCAAAUUCACCUUCAAUGCAACUCCGAUCUGAAGACUGCUAUUCUUCUCCAAUAUCAUGUUACUGGAGAUUCAUGGCUUACCAAUCUUAUUGUAAUUGAUGAAUUUGGGGUAUUAUACACCCUCGUGUAAUAGUCCCUUAGUACUUUAAUAAAUUUCAUGCUUCAAAAGAAAAAAAAAA